rnacentral:rRNA from 1 species
GGUUAAGUGAAUAAGGGCGCACGGUGGAUGCCUUGGCACUAGGAGCCGAUGAAGGACGGGACUAACGCCGAUAUGCUUUGGGGAGCUGUAAGUAAGCUAUGAUCCAGAGAUUUCCGAAUGGGGAAACCCAACAUCUUUGAUAGGAUGUUACGAAUAGGUGAAUUCAUAGCCUACUCGAGGUAGACGCAGAGAACUGAAACAUCUAAGUACCUGCAGGAAGAGAAAGAAAAUUCGAUUCCCUGAGUAGCGGCGAGCGAAACGGGAAAAGCCCAAACCAAGAGGCUUGCCUCUUGGGGUUGUAGGACUCCAAUCUGGUAGUUUUUUCAGAUAGCCGAAAUACCUGGAAAGGUAUGUCAAAGAGGGUAAAAACCCCGUAGGCGAAAUUUGGAAGACACCUAGGAGGAUCCUGAGUACGGCGGAACACGAGGAAUUCCGUCGGAAUCCGGGAGGACCAUCUCCCAAGGCUAAAUACUCCCUAGUGACCGAUAGUGAACCAGUACCGUGAGGGAAAGGUGAAAAGCACCCCGGAAGGGGAGUGAAAUAGAUCCUGAAACCGUGUGCCUACAACAAGUUAGAGCCCGUUAAUGGGUGAUAGCGUGCCUUUUGUAGAAUGAACCGGCGAGUUACGAUUGCAUGCGAGGUUAAGUUGAAGAGACGGAGCCGUAGCGAAAGCGAGUCUGAAUAGGGCGAAUGAGUAUGUAGUCGUAGACCCGAAACCAUGUGAUCUACCCAUGUCCAGGUUGAAGGUGCGGUAAAACGCACUGGAGGACCGAACCCACGUACGUUGAAAAGUGCGGGGAUGAGGUGUGGGUAGCGGAGAAAUUCCAAUAGAAAUUGGAGAUAGAUGGUUCUCUCCGAAAUAGCUUUAGGGCUAGCGUCGAAGUUGAGAAUGAUGGAGGUAGAGCACUGUUUGGACUAGGGGCCCAUCUCGGGUUACCGAAUUCAGAUAAACUCCGAAUGCCAUUCAUUCAUAUUCGGCAGUCAGACUGUGAGUGAUAAGAUCCAUAGUCGAAAGGGAAACAGCCCAGACCACCAGCUAAGGUCCCCAAAUAUAUGUUAAGUGGAAAAGGAUGUGGGGUUGCACAGACAACUAGGAUGUUGGCUCAGAAGCAGCCAUCAUUUAAAGAGUGCGUAAUAGCUCACUAGUCGAGUGACCCUGCGCCGAAAAUGUACCGGGGCUAAACAUAUUACCGAAGCUGUGGAUUGUACCUUUGGGUACAAUGGUAGGAGAGCGUUCUAAGGGCGUUGAAGGUAGAUCGUGAGGACUGCUGGAGCGCUUAGAAGUGAGAAUGCCGGUAUGAGUAGCGAAAGACAGGUGAGAAUCCUGUCCACCGAAUGACUAAGGUUUCCUGGGGAAGGCUCGUCCGCCCAGGGUUAGUCGGGACCUAAGCCGAGGCCGAUAGGCGUAGGCGAUGGACAACAGGUUGAUAUUCCUGUACCCGUUCGCUUUGUUUGAGCAAUGGAGGGACGCAGGAGGCUAAGAAGUGCAGACUGAUGGAUAUGUCUGUUCAAGCAGUAAGUCUUGUGAUGAGUCAAAUGCUUAUCACUAUACGGACAAGCUGUGAUGAGGAGGGAACUAAUAGUACCGAAGCUUCUGAUGUCACACUGCCAAGAAAAGCUUCUAGUGAGAAACGAACGGCCCGUACCGCAAACCGACACAGGUAGUCGAGGAGAGAAUCCUAAGGUGUGCGAGAGAACUCUCGUUAAGGAACUCGGCAAAAUGACCCCGUAACUUCGGGAGAAGGGGUGCUGCUCGUAAGAGCAGCCGCAGUGAAUAGGCCCAAGCGACUGUUUAUCAAAAACACAGGUCUCUGCAAAAUCGAUAGAUGACGUAUAGGGGCUGACGCCUGCCCGGUGCUGGAAGGUUAAGAGGAGUGCUUAGCGCAAGCGAAGGUACGAAUUGAAGCCCCAGUAAACGGCGGCCGUAACUAUAACGGUCCUAAGGUAGCGAAAUUCCUUGUCGGGUAAGUUCCGACCCGCACGAAAGGCGUAACGAUUUGGGCACUGUCUCAACGAGAGACUCGGUGAAAUUUUAGUACCUGUGAAGAUGCAGGUUACCCGCGACAGGACGGAAAGACCCCAUGGAGCUUUACUGUAGUUUGAUAUUGAGUGUCUGUACCGCAUGUACAGGAUAGGUAGGAGCCGUAGAAGUCGGGACGCUAGUUUCGACGGAGGCCUGGUGGGAUACUACCCUUGCGUUAUGGCCACUCUAACCCGCAGCCCUGAUCGGGCUGGGAGACAGUGUCAGAUGGGCAGUUUGACUGGGGCGGUCCCUCCUAAAAGGUAACGGAGGCGCCCAAAGGUUCCCUCAGAAUGGUUGGAAAUCAUUCGCAGAGUGUAAAGGCAGAAGGGAGCUUGACUGCGAGACUUACAAGUCGAGCAGAGACGAAAGUCGGGCUUAGUGAUCCGGUGGUUCCGCAUGGAAGGGCCAUCGCUCAACGGAUAAAAGCUACCCUGGGGAUAACAGGCUUAUCUCCCCCAAGAGUCCACAUCGACGGGGAGGUUUGGCACCUCGAUGUCGGCUCGUCGCAUCCUGGGGCUGUAGUCGGUCCCAAGGGUUGGGCUGUUCGCCCAUUAAAGCGGCACGGAGCUGGGUUCAGAACGUCGUGAGACAGUUCGGUCCCUAUCCGUCGCGGGCGUUGGAAAUUUGAGAGGAGCUGUCCUUAGUACGAGAGGACCGGGAUGGACUUACCGCUGGUGUACCAGUUGUCUCGCCAGAGGCAUGCGCUGGGUAGCUAUGUAGGGAAGGGAUAAACGCUGAAAGCAUCUAAGUGUGAAGCCCACCUCAAGAUGAGAUUUCCCAUUCUUUUAAAGAAGUAAGAUCCCUGAGAGAUGAUCAGGUAGAUAGGUCAGAAGUGGAAGGCCAGUGAUGGUUGGAGCGGACUGAUACUAAUCGAUCGAGGACUUAACCAA